rnacentral:rRNA from 1 species
UACCGGCAGCACGAGUGAUGGCCGCUCUUAUUGGGCCUAAAGCGUCCGUAGCCGGCCCGACAAGUCCGUUGGGAAAUCCACGCGCUCAACGCGUGGGCGUCCAGCGGAAACUGUCGGGCUUGGGACCGGAAGACCCAGAGGGUACGUCCGGGGUAGGAGUGAAAUCCCGUAAUCCUGGACGGACCACCGGUGGCGAAAGCGCUCUGGGAAGACGGAUCCGACGGUGAGGGACGAAAGCUAGGGUCUCGAACCGG